rnacentral:rRNA from 1 species
UACGUAGGGGGCAAGCGUUGCCCGGAAUUAUUGGGCGUAAAGCGCGUGUAGGCGGCUCGAUAAGUCUGCUGUGAAAGUCCAGGGCUCAACCCUGGAAUGCCGGUGGAUACUGUCGAGCUAGAGUCCGGAAGAGGCGAGUGGAAUUCCUGGUGUAGCUGUGAAAUGCGCAGAUAUCAGGAGGAACACCAAUGGCGAAGGCAGCUCGCUGGGACGGUACUGACGCUGAGACGUGAAAGCGUGGGGAGCAAACAGG